UGGGGAAUAUUGCACAAUGGGCGCAAGCCUGAUGCAGCCAUGCCGCGUGUAUGAAGAAGGCCUUCGGGUUGUAAAGUACUUUCAGUCGGGAGGAAGGUGGUAAGGUUAAUAACCUUAUCAAUUGACGUUACCGACAGAAGAAGCACCGGCUAACUCCGUGCCAGCAGCCGCGGUAAUACGGAGUGUGCAAGCGUUAAUCGGAAUUACUAGGCGUAAAGCGCACGCAGGCGGUUGAUUAAGUCAGAUGUGAAAUCCCCGGGCUUAACCCGGGAAUUGCAUCUGAUACUGGUCAGCUAGAGUCUUGUAGAGGGGGGUAGAAUUCCAUGUGUAGCGGUGAAAUGCGUAGAGAUGUGGAGGAAUACCGGUGGCGAAGGCGGCCCCCUGGACAAAGACUGACGCUCAGGUGCGAAAGCGUGGGGAGCAAACAGG
rnacentral:rRNA from 1 species